rnacentral:tRNA from 1 species
GAGGUGCUAGUUUAAUUAAGAACAUAGGCAUGUCAUCCCUAAAAUACCAAAGCAUUGGUGCGCCUCU